UCAUGGACAUACACCUCCCACCC
rnacentral:piRNA from 1 species